UCAUGCCCUCUGCCUCAUCUGCCCCCUAGUGAGGACCUGGUGUGCUGGAGUUGGGUUCUUGGCUACACAGCUGCUGUUGAUCGGUCAGCUACCUUUUAUAAGCUCCAGCCCUGCUCUCAGUCUUCGCCGGACUAUAGACUAAGUUACCGAUCAACAGCUGGACAUUAGCCCUGACUCCAGCCUCAGAUUUCUGCCUGCCUGCCUGCCUGCCUGCUCCACACGGACAUUCAUCACCCCUGACUCCAGCCUCGGAUUCCUGCCUGCCUACCUGUUCCACACGGUCAUACUAUUAAACCCUGUUUGACUUGA